rnacentral:rRNA from 1 species
GACGAACGCUGGCGGCGUGCCUAAUACAUGCAAGUAGAACGCUGAAGCGAGGAGCUUGCUCUUCUUGGAUGAGUUGCGAACGGGUGAGUAACGCGUAGGUAACCUGCCUUGUAGCGGGGGAUAACUAUUGGAAACGAUAGCUAAUACCGCAUAACAAUGGAUGACCCAUGUCAUUUAUUUGAAAGGGGCAAAUGCUCCACUACAAGAUGGACCUGCGUUGUAUUAGCUAGUAGGUGAGGUAACGGCUCACCUAGGCGACGAUACAUAGCCGACCUGAGAGGGUGAUCGGCCACACUGGGACUGAGACACGGCCCAGACUCCUACGGGAGGCAGCAGUAGGGAAUCUUCGGCAAUGGGGGCAACCCUGACCGAGCAACGCCGCGUGAGUGAAGAAGGGUUUCGGAUCGUAAAGCUCUGUUGUAAGUCAAGAACGAGUGUGAGAGUGGAAAGUUCACACUGUGACGGUAGCUUACCAGAAAGGGACGGCUAACUACGUG